CCUCACCUGGGCAAGGGGUGGCACUGACCGUAACUGCUCCACCUGUCUGUAAUUAAGGGUCUACCAGCCUCUCUCCAAGUCUCUGGGACUUUCUUCUGACUUUCGGAGUUGUCUUCAGACCUCUCUUAGCUCAGUGACUCCUGCCUUUGGAGGGUGUGUGUGCCCUCUGCCAGCCUCUGCUGGUCCAUGUGAGACUCCUUUCGCCCAGCUUCAGGCAAGUACCUCUGCAGCCCUGCUCCUGGACGCCUCAUGUGGUCACCUGCAGUGGGAAGGACCCUCAAACAAGCAGCUUUCAGCUGCAUUCCAGCAAGACCUCCUGGUGCAGACCAGAAACAUGAGUGAUGGAAGGUGGUGCGGGGCAUGGAUGUGGAUCUGCAGACAGUUUCUGCUUGAGGAGGAGACUGGGGCCACUGUGAGCAGGCAAAGAGCCUCCCUUUCCUCUGCUCUCACCUCUCUUGCCUGGAAAGCAGAGGCUCGGGAGGAGUUAAAAACCAGAGGUCUGCAGUGUCAAAGUACACAUCUGAAUCGCUUCAAACUGAGCCCUUUGGGAGACAAGUUAUGAACUGGCAUCAAGCACUAGAUGGACACAUGCACAUAGAGACUACCCAGCUGCAGCAUAAUUCUUCCAAACUGCUCCAGUAAGACAUAUAGAAUGUUUUACUGGUCAUAGCAAAGAGCUAAACAAAAAUCCACAAAAUUAUAGGCCAAAAUGCGCUAGUUCUUUUCUACUGAAUGAUAAAGUUCAGGGAAUUACAGUGAUAUAUUUAUUGUGCAGUACAGGAGUUGGUGCAGUGUAUGUACUGUCAAAUUGGGCUUUUAUUAAGUCAAAUAUAAGGAAAAACCUAAGGCAGAUGAUUAAUGCAUUGUUGUUUUGGUAAAUUUUCCUUUUUCAUUUAAUAAUGGAAGUGCUGGGGGUGGAUGUGUUUUUUCAGAGGCAGAAACAUGGUCAGGUUUAUUUGCAAUCUAAUUAACAGCAUGGUGUAAAGUAGAGGUUUAACCACAGCUGGCAGCUAAACUCCACACAGCUGCUCCCUCUCCCCCCACAUCAGGAAGGGGAAAGAACCUGAAGGGUUAAAGUGAGAAUCCUGGGUUGAGAUAAAGAGGGUUUAAUGGGUAAAGGAAAGGUGUUGCAUGCAAGAAAAGCAAAACAGAAUUCAGGGAGGUGUUUUUAUCCAUGACUGCAUUGACAUGCUCCAGCUGGAAGUCAUCCCUCCCAUACCCUGGCUCCUUGAUACCGAGUAUUUUGAGCACUGCAUUGGAUGAGGUGGAAGUUCUGUGAAAUGCAUCUUCUUGCAUUGUGUGAUGCAGAUUUAUCCAUUCUGCUGGUCAGAGGAAUUUCCUGGUUUUCUCCUUGCCUUUGACAGCCUCGUUUUGUGAAAAGUGUCAUCUUCUCUUUUAAAUUAUUUUGUUUCAAGCUAAAUAACUCAGUAUGGCAGACAUCUUAACCUAGAAGAUAAGUCACUAUUGAAAUCAGUUAUAUUGGUUUGCCAGCUACCUCAAGCAUUCCAAAAUGGACAUUAUUUGAAGUGAGAAAGCUGAUGUUGCUUUCUAAGAUGUAAAGAUGGGUGGCUACACAAGGACGCAAAUGGGAAAAUACAGCUCCCUCCCCUAAAGGAGAAAUUAGGAGAGAGCAAAAGAAAUUUCUUAAAUGUAUCCAUCAUCUGCAACAAAUAAAUAGCAAUAAAGGUUACCUUAAAAAUGGAGAUUACUAAGAGAGAGUGAUUUCUCUGAAUAUAUUGAUUAGGGAGCUUGGAAAGAAUAGUGGACAGAGGGAAAUAAAAAACCUGAAUUACUUUAAAAAGAGUAAACUGAUUCAUUAAAGGCUUUGAGACAAAAAUUGAGAAUUGAAAGUGAGCUACUGAAUCUAACAUCUAACUCGGUGUCUCAUUUUAAUAAAGUAAUAGGAAUAGAAUUACAAAACCUGCAAAUUCUGAUAGCAUGUCUGUCUAUUACUGGUGAGAGUAUUUUGUCAUGGCUGGCUCAGAGUGCAGAGAAACCCUGUUUCCCCCCCACACCCCCUGAACUCUGUAAUUUUAUGGUGGAAGAAUAAGACUUAUUUUCUAUGAGUCUUCUUUUGUGAAUGUUUCCAAGCUGGAGAUGCUCCUGGUGAAGGGCCAUGGUAAGUUUUGAUGAGGAGCUUUUGUGUGUGCCUGCCCACCUUCCUCUUUAUGAAGAUUUUGUAAUCACUGAAGUUAUUUCUCACAUAAGUUUACUUUCUGUUUCUGUGACAAAUUUGCUUUAAUAAUUCUGGAUUUUCUCUGUUUUGUAUAGCUAUCAUUCUCCAUUUAUUUGAGGGAGGUGCAUCUCUCUCGAGGGGGUAAUACCUUUUUUUUGAAGAGAUAUUUCUUAUGUUUCAGUUAGUUGCCUUUUUUUAUUGUUUGCAGUGGAUCUUUGUGGCUUCUUCUACAGUACAUUGAAAAUUAUUAUAAUUUAUACAAAAACAUUUGUGAAUUUAAAGACAGGUGCAUAGUUUAUGCAAAGCAAUCACAUAAUUUCUUUGAAAUGUGGCACCUGAAUAAGGCAUUAUGAAUGAGAUUGACAGUGGUAGACUGAAUUUGAAGGAGUUCAUUGUGUUUCAAAGUGAAGCUGCUUAUGUGUUUCAUUAUGGGAAUAAUGAAAUUACAUAUUAAUAUUUCUGGUCUUAGCAACUGCAAUAAAAAAUGUCUUUUUCUAUGCUGUGCCAUGGGGGACCCAUGAAUCUAAAUCCACUUGCAAAGGAGAUUGUAUUCACAUAUCCUGCUCUCCAGCUGCACAGAAAAUCCACACACACUCAGCUUGUGCUGCCAUGGAUCUCUGCUUUCUAGGAAAUAUUUCAACCAUUGCCCCAAAAUAUCAGGGAACUUGCCAAGGAAAACUGAAUGUAGAGCAAGGUGGAUAGUGCUGGUAAAUGGAUUUUCCUGUGAAACUUAGUGCUGUGCAGUGUAGAACCCCUGUUGUAAAAAUGGGUAAUAACGUCUAAUGGAAAAGAAAUGCAUUUAAAAAAAAAACAACAACCAAAAAGGACAACCAAGCUAACAAGAAACCAUCCCUGCAGAUACUACUAAUAAGGAACAACCUUUAAAAAAUCCCAAGUUUAACUCACUGGUGUCACAAUGGCUCUUCUUGUUUAGCCCCCUUUCCCCUCCUCAUUUCACCAUCAAGAACAAAAACUUGGGGAAUUACUUUCCCGUCGGGACAAUGUGAUAAGAUACUGCCAUCUACAGGUAACAUAUCUCCUCUUGAAGCUGUACUAUGUGCAAAAAUGUCUUUGGAACUGCUGCUGGUUAUAACCCCAAUAUUCCAGACUCUUUCUUUUGAAUUUGAAGUAUACUUGUUAAAGAGAGUCCAUGGGGAGCACAUGUAGCUGCAGGGUAUGCAGCAAAAUUCCUGUUCUCCUUGCACAGUGUCUGGAUACAGGUAUUUUAGCAGGCUCUGAGAAUUUAAACCAUAUCUGAAAUAUUUAUGCAUGUGAAAAUCUUUGUGCCUGGAAAAAAAUCCCUCUGAAUUCUUGAGGGUUGUCACAACUAGAAAAGCUAAUUGUGUGUUUGGUGUCUGUUCACUGAGGCAUGAGGUUGGUACAGAUUCCUCUGAUCACAACUUCCCUCUCUUGUCCCCCUCUCUGUGCUAAGCUCUUAGGACAAAAACACGGUGUUAUGUUGUGUUGUUUGACUCCUAAGCUUUGAAUAUGACCAAUGAGUUUUAAUAACAGAUUAAAAGGAACCUUCAUAGUGAUACUUCCAUGAUUUCUCAUCAAUUCAUUGAAUGAGCAAAAAAUCAGGAUGUUAGCAGUACUGCUGAAGUUAGCAUUAGCCUAAAGAUUUUUAAAUAGUUAUAUUAUAAUUUCUACGGUUUUUCAAAUGUGGUAAGUUUUAAGGUACUGGAUUGCUCAAAGGAUUUGAGGAAAGAUUUGAAACCAUUAAUUCUGUAUCAGACUUUGUUUCAGGCUUAAUUGAUUGUUAAGGGAUAUUACAGAAUAGUUAUGCUCUAGGAAGUAAUGUGCUAGAAAUAAUCCUCCCUGAAGAAUUGUAUGGUUUGAUGUAUACUGCUGAAGCAGGAAAUUGUGACCUUUUAAUAAAAGAUAAAAAGCCUGGAAAAUGAGUUUAACUUGUAUGGUUCUAUUUUGGAAAUGGAGUAAAGUAUGAGCACAAACUGUUGUGGACUGUAUCUCAGGUGUGAAACAACUUAUGAUGUGGUGGUAUUUCAUAAAUCAGAGGAGGAGGCCUGUAAACUGAGUAGUGAAAGGGGUGAGAUAUUUAAAGAACUGGGUGUCCCAGUUCAAGAAAGCUUUUGAAUUCUUAUAACCAAGCAGGUCCUUGGCUUUAUCCAAAUGUGUUUCUGAACUGCAGCAUGCAUGGAAAAUACCUUUCACUUUGUAUGUAAAACUACUGGAGCAGUAUGGAGAUCAUUGUAAACAUAUGGCAAAGGAUGUCUUAUUGAAUUGUAUCAUCUUGCCUUUCAUGAGGCUGUAUGUCAUAUAAAUGUCACCCUUAAAAGAUAAUAAAAAGCUUAAACAG